GACAGAGGGUGCAACCGUUGCUCGGAAUUACUGGGCGUAAAGGGCGCGUAGGCGGUUCUUUAAGUCAGGCGUGAAAGCCCUGGGCUCAACCUGGGAGUGGCGCUUGAUACUGGAGGACUAGAGAGUGGGAGAGGUUGGUGGAAUUCCCAGUGUAGAGGUGAAAUUCGUAGAUAUUGGGAAGAACACCGGUGGCGAAGGCGGCCAACUGGACCAUUUCUGACGCUGAGGCGCGAAAGCGUGGGGAGCAAACAGG
rnacentral:rRNA from 1 species